GCCUCGGUGGUGAAAUUGGUAGACGCGCUGGACUCAAAAUCCUGUGGAGGCAACUCCGUGCCGGUUCGAUUCCGGCCCGAGGCA
rnacentral:tRNA from 2 species